AAAUUUUUCUAUCAGAGGAAUUGAGUAUUGGGAGGCUUUUGAUUUGGGUAGACAUCAAAUCGCUUGAUUAUUACGGUAAGAUGCGGCAGAAAUCUUGCAGGAAAUUCCAGACAUAUCUAUCAUGGAUUGAAUAAACUAGUACUCGAAUCCAAGGUCUCUUUUUCAGUUUUUGGCAUCAGAGAUUCAUAUGGCUUGGCACCAGACUUGUUGCAUUUGAAUUAGUACUCUUUUGUGUUAGCUGUUAACUAUCUUAUGUCUAUUGUUGCUUUUGAAUUACUGAAUUAGAACUCUUUUGUGUUAAAAAAACGUCUGUACUCUAGUUUGUAACUUUCUAGUUUCUAUACUUAGUUUUUUUUU